rnacentral:rRNA from 1 species
UGAGGAAUAUUGGUCAAUGGGCUGAGGCCUGAACCAGCCAAGUCGCGUGAGGGAAGACGGUCCUAUGGAUUGUAAACCUCUUUUGUCGGGGAGCAACGACGUCACGAGUGACGGAAGUGAGAGUACCCGAAGAAAAAGCAUCGGCUAACUCCGUGCCAGCAGCCGCGGUAAUACGGAGGAUGCGAGCGUUAUCCGGAUUUAUUGGGUUUAAAGGGUGCGUAGGCGGACUGUUAAGUCAGCGGUAAAAAUUCGGGGCCCAACCCCGUCAUGCCGUUGAAACUGGCGGACUAGAGUGGGCGAGAAGUAUGCGGAAUGCGUGGUGUAGCGGUGAAAUGCAUAGAUAUCACGCAGAACUCCGAUUGCGAAGGCAGCAUACCGGCGCCCAACUGACGCUGAAGCACGAAAGCGUGGGUAUCGAACAGGAUUAGAUACC